rnacentral:rRNA from 1 species
UAGGGAAUCUUCGGCAAUGGGGGCAACCCUGACCGAGCAACGCCGCGUGAGUGAAGAAGGUUUUCGGAUCGUAAAGCUCUGUUGUAAGAGAAGAACGUGUGUGAGAGUGGAAAGUUCACACAGUGACGGUAACUUACCGGAAAGGGACGGCUAACUACGUGCCAGCAGCCGGGGUAAUACGUAGGUCCCGAGCGUUGUCCGGAUUUAUUGGGCGUAAAGCGAGCGCAGGCGGUUUAAUAAGUCUGAAGUUAAAGGCAGUGGCUUAACCAUUGUUCGCUUUGGAAACUGUUAAACUUGAGUGCAGAAGGGGAGAGUGGAAUUCCAUGUGUAGCGGUGAAAUGCGUAGAUAUAUGGAGGAACACCGGUGGCGAAAGCGGCUCUCUGGUCUGUAACUGACGCUGAGGCUCGAAAGCGUGGGGAGCAAACAGG